UACGUAGGUGGCAAGCGUUGUCCGGAUUUACUGGGCGUAAAGGGUGCGUAGGCGGAUGAUUAAGUCAGAUGUGAAAUACCAGGGCUCAACCCUGGGGCUGCAUUUGAUACUGGUUAUCUAGAGUGCAGGAGAGGAGAGCGGUAUUCCUAGUGUAGCGGUGAAAUGCGUAGAGAUUAGGAAGAACACCAGUGGCGAAGGCGGCUCUCUGGACUGUAACUGACGCUGAGGCACGAAAGCGUGGGGAGCAAAC
rnacentral:rRNA from 1 species